UCCCUUUUGUGUGGUUUUCGGGACUCGGCCUAAUGGUAUAAUAGGGCAGUCGGGGGCCUUUGUAUUCCAACCACACGAGAGUGAAAUUCUUGGACCGUUUGAAGAGCACAACCCUGCGCAAAGCGCUUU
rnacentral:rRNA from 1 species